rnacentral:rRNA from 1 species
GAUGAACGCUGGCGGCGUGCCUAAUACAUGCAAGUCGAGCGAAUGGAUUAAGAGCUUGCUCUUAUGAAGUUAGCGGCGGACGGGUGAGUAACACGUGGGUAACCUGCCCAUAAGACUGGGAUAACUCCGGGAAACCGGGGCUAAUACCGGAUAACAUUUUGAACCGCAUGGUUCGAAAUUGAAAGGCGGCUUCGGCUGUCACUUAUGGAUGGACCCGCGUCGCAUUAGCUAGUUGGUGAGGUAACGGCUCACCAAGGCAACGAGGCGUAGCCGACCUGGGAGGGUGAUCGGCCACUCUGGGACUGAGACACGGCCCAGACUCCUACGGGAGGCAGCAGUAGGGAAUCUUCCGCAAUGGACGAAAGUCUGACGGAGCAACGCCGCGUGAGUGAUGAAGGCUUUCGGGUCGUAAAACUCUGUUGUUAGGGAAGAACAAGUGCUGGUUGAAUAAGCUGGCACCUUGACGGUACCUAACCAGGAAGCCACGGCUAACUACGUGCCAGCCGCCGCAGUAA